rnacentral:rRNA from 1 species
CGGGAAUAUUGCGCAAUGGAGGAAACUCUGACGCAGUGACGCCGCGUAUAGGACGAAGGUCUUCGGAUUGUAAACUAUUGUCGUUAGGGAAGAAAAAGGACAGUACCUAAGGAGGAAGCUCCGGCUAACUACGUGCCAGCAGCCGCGGUAAUACGUAGGGAGCAAGCGUUAUCCGGAUUUAUUGGGUGUAAAGGGUGCGUAGACGGGUUGAUAAGUUAGUUGUGAAAUCCCUCGGCUCAACUGAGGAACUGCAACUAAAACUGUUAAUCUUGAGUGUUGGAGAGGAAAGCGGAAUUCCUAGUGUAGCGGUGAAAUGCGUAGAUAUUAGGAGGAACACCAGUGGCGAAGGCGGCUUUCUGGACAAUAACUGACGUUGAGGCACGAAAGUGUGGGGAGCAAACAGGA